CUAAGGUUCAGUUUGGUAAGGAGAGAAGACUGUCUGUGAAGUGAAUCUGAAAGGAGGCCUAAGGCCUAGUCCAGCAACCACGCAUCAGCUACAGGUUAACCCCACUACCCAGGUGAAAGUUAAAGCCUUGAGAUGUGGCCAGAUCCAAUGUUACGAGCAAGUUUGUCCAGCCAAAAAUAGGCAGUUCAUUUAAAAGGCCAUUUUCUGUAUUAAAAAGUAUAAUGAAAACUAUUCAUAGGAAGAUUAAGUGCCAAGAUAUUCCAAAGCGCUUUACAGAGAAUGUCAUCACUCACAUCAGUAAUCUGGAGUAUGGUAGGAAACUGGAGUAACAUGGGAAGAACUCCAUACACUCAAUCCCGGACCCCAAUGUUGAAAGACAACAGCGCUAACUACUAAGUCCACUAACAUGCAUGUACAUGCUAUGUUCCUGUAACAUUUUCCCCUUAUAGCAAUUAUCGGGGAUUGGACUUUUUUUUUUUUGCAUUAUUUUUAUUUUUUUUAAAUCCUGCCCAGCUGGCAUCAUUUAAAAAAAAAAAAAAAACUGAAUUUACCUCCGGCACCUUAAACUGCGACUAAAAAACUUUUAGUUUUUAUAGGUACCAUUUUAAGGAACCACUUCCUUUUUCCAUUUCUUUGAGAAAACAAUGUUCAAAAUGCAAUAAUUUUUAUCAUUCUGUGUGGGGGUAAUGUUUUAUGUAAAAAGGAUGUU